AAGUCUGACCUGCCCACUGAAGUUAUUUAAAUGGCCGCAGUAUUUUAACUGUGCAAAGGUAGCAUAAUCAUUAGUCUUUUAAUUGAAGGCUGGUAUGAACGGUUGGACGAGGUAUAAGCUGUUUCAUAUAAAUUUAUAAUAGAAUUUUAUAUUUUAGUUAAAAAGCUAAAAUAUAAUUAAAAGACGAGAAGACCCUAUAAAUCUUUAUACUUUAUGUUUUUUAAAUUUUUUAGAUUAUAUUUUAUUUUUAAAAUUUGAAGUAUUUUGUUGGGGUGAUGUUAAAAUUUAAUGAACUUUUAAUUAUUUAAAAUCAUUAAUUUAUGAUUUAUUGAUCCAUUAAUAGUGAUUAUAARAUUAAGUUACUUUAGGGAUAACAGCGUAAUUUUUUUGGARAGUUCAUAUCGAUAAAAAAGGUUGCGACCUCGAUGUUGGAUUAAGAUAUAUUUUUAGGUGUAGCUGCUUAAAU
rnacentral:rRNA from 1 species